GGCCGCGCAGCGGGGCACGGUGACCGCGGCCCGACGGCUGUCCGCUGCAUCACCAGCAUCCCCCCUUCUCCCGGACCUGCCCAGCCGGCCCAGGGACGGCGCUUCCAAUGAGGGAACAGCGUCAGCCUCGGCUGGGGAGGAUUUGCCCUCACUGCGGCGGCCACCGGCGACACAAAGUUGUGACCCAUCGACUGAGCACACGGCAGCUUUUAAUCCGACCUCAGCCUUCCCACAAGCCCUGGCUGUCCCUGCUGACUGCAGUGAUGUUUCUGCAAGGAGAUGGAUUUCCUAGCACUGUGUGGAUUUAAAUCAAGACCACUCCUUUUCCGGAAGACAUAUUUUCAACUAAUGUAAAUGUUUUGUCUAAAUAUAAGAAGAACUAGGUGGGGAGCUCUGUGUCCUACAGCCCCUGUGACUGUAUCUUACAGGAGACUGGGUGAUGGAGUGAAAGCUGGAUCUUCUGACCCUAGAAAAUCCAUGAAUAAAAUCCCAAGUUGCUUUGUCACAAGUAAGCCUUAGAAACUCAGUGAAAUUAUUAAUGCAUCAAGGUGCAGUGGUCUAAAAAAUUUAAAAAUAUGAUCAUAGGCUUAUUUAACGUUAUACCUUCUGUGUUAUUUUCUUUUGUAUGUGCUGACUAGAACUGAGCAAAGGCUUCAUAACAAAUAAUUUAUUUGUCAAACGUAUUCUCUUCUCCUGCGUGUGGAAUAUCCAUGAGCAAGAGCAUUGUUUUCUCAAAUGUAUUUAUCUAAAAUGCUCCAGUGGUUCCUUUAAAUGAAUAACAGAAGGGCUUGCCUGCAAAUGGUUUCCGCUGUUUAGCUGUACUUGGGCAAAUAAACCUCCUGGUAUCGA